UACGUAGGGACCAAGCGUUGUUCGGAUUUACUGGGCGUAAAGGGCGCGUAGGCGGCAAAUUAAGUCAGCUGUGAAAUCUCCGAGCUUAACUCGGAACUGUCAGCUGAUACUGAUGUGCUAGAGUGCGGAAGGGGCAAUCGGAAUUCUUGGUGUAGCGGUGAAAUGCGUAGAUAUCAAGAGGAACACCUGUGGUGUAGACGGCUCUCUGGACAGUCACUGACGCUGAGACACGAAAGCGUGGGUAGCAAACAGG
rnacentral:rRNA from 1 species